rnacentral:misc_RNA from 1 species
CUGAGCUACAAGUGGGAUAAUGGUCGCGACGUACACAUCUAUUAAUUCAUCCACCAAACUAGUCAAUAAAAUAGUAAAUUAGCUUACCGUUCCAACAGCUGACUCGACUCCGCGAGAUCGGAAAUGAUUCUCCGAUUCUGCCAUUAUGUCGAGCACGUGGAGCACCAUGUGGGAUUUAUUGCUUUAUAUGAAUUCUCGUGAUCGCUUGACGACGCAAGGGAUCGUAGCUGCGGCCACGGAUGCGGACACGACCGCCACACACCGCGCGAGGACAAGGAAAUAGAGCAGCAACUGCGCAGUGACCAAGACGCUAAGCACCGGAGCUUGACGAUGUCGCGGCGCAGCAGCAAAUAACAACGCCACCAUGGCUAGGGAGGCAAGUCCGGCGACGACAUAGACGGUUAGCACGGCGAGCAGGGACAACUGGCGAACUCUGGUUCAGGCGAACAGAACGCGACACAGGGAGCUUAGGGAGCUUGAGGUGCGGGUUCACACAUCCAUAGCCGAACGGCGGAGCUGAGGCCAAGCGUCGGCUGUGAAGAACGUCGGCUAUUACAGGGAGUCGCGGACGAGGGAUUUCCAUGUCCGGUGCAGGGAACGGCGGCGCAGAAGAACAGAGACGCGGGCGACCGACGAGCUGGGAUCCGACGCGCGCAGGAGCAGAGUAGUCCGAGCUGGAACGCGGCACGGUGGAGGAGCAGUGCUUUGGACGCGCCACGGGAGAGGGGAAUCCGAGUUAGGGCUGGACGCCGGCAGAGAGGAGAGCAGGGACGCGACGGCCAUGGAAGAUGGCUGGGCGAGCAGCCAUGGGAGCAGGAGAAAAGCAUCGCGGCAAGCUCGAGGGAGAGAAGCAGAGAGUGAGCGCCGCAAGGAAGAAAGAAGCAAGGAGGGCGAGCAGGAAAUAGGGAGCAGGAGGGCGCGACGACUGGAGUUCAGGCCGGCGCGCAGGAAAGCUGGGCGCCGAGCUCCAUCGGCGAGCAGGGCGCGGGAGGAACGCCGGCGAACCUGGCCAAGGAAUAGGCGCGCGCCAUGGGCGACAGAGGAGGAGCGCGCGAUGUUGGACUGGAGGCCGAGCGCUGAAGAGGCUGGGCACGGUCCGCGCGAGGCACAUCGGCCAUGGCAGGGAAUUCGCGACGCGAGCAGGGAGGACCGCGCGCAGAGAAAUCGGCUGGGGAGUGGGAGGCCGCGGCAGAGGGAGCUGGAAGGGACCGCGGCGCUGGGAAGAAGGCUAAGCCAGAGCUCCGCAGUGCGCAGGGAGAACACUGAGCUCGCACGCAGGGGAAAGGGCCGAGCAGGUCCGAGCGCCAGCCAUGGAGGGAGCCGUGGCUUGCGAUGGCGAGCAGAGCAGAGGCCAGGAGCGCGCGGAGGGAGAGAUAAGGAGAAGGAAUCGGCUG